GGGAGCCCAGGGAUUAGGGAGACUCUCACCAUGUUUGCCCAGGCCAGCCCUGAAUGCUUGGGUUCAAGUGAUCCUCCCACCUCAGCCUCCAGAGUAGCUGGGACUAAAGGUGCACCACCACGCCCGGCUCAAAGUCCAUAUGUCUUCCUUUUCUUUGCCUGAGCCAAGGAAGUAGGCCCUAUCUGGUCUUCCUUUUAGUAUUCUCCCUGCUCUUCCAUAAUCUAUCAUUCUGCUGAGACGUUCCCAUUGGCUUCGGGUAGAAUUCCUGUCAUGGUUUACAAAACCCCCUUGAAACCAGUGGCCCAUGCCUGUCAUCGUAGCAACUCUGGAGGCUGUGGUAGGAAGAUUGCAAGUUCGAGGCCAGCCUUAGCAACUUAGGAAGACCCUGUGGCAAAGUAAAAAAUUAAAAGGGGUUGGAGUGAAGCUCGGUGACUGAGCACCCUGGAUUCAAUCCCUAGUACUGUAAAAAAAAAAAAAAAAGCCUCCAUGAUGUGGCUCCUUUCCACUCUCCACCCACACGUAGCCACAUCCCAUGUACUUCCUCAAUCUGCCAUGCAGCCUCUCUUCCCCAGCAACACCAGGUUAUUCUGCCUCUGCUUACACUUAUUUUUCUCUCAGCCUUGACCACUCAGCUCUUUUUGCACCACUUCUAAUCAGCUCAUCCGUUUCCUCCUCACAAGGCUUCCCAACUGUGCUGUCUAAAGUGGCCCUUUCACAGCCCUUAGCAUCUCAUGCAUCAACCUUACUUGUAUAUGUGUGCCCGGGCUGGGUGUGCAGCUCUGUGGUACCACACUUGCCUAGCAUUUAUAAGGCCCUGGGUUUGAUCUCCUGCACUGCAAAUAAAUAUAUAUCUGCUCAUGUUUAUUGCCUAUUGCCCCCCACCAAGCAGGCAGAGAAUGUGUCUUGAUCACUUCGACUGGGUGAUCAGUGACAGUUUGUAGAAUGGUAGAAGCUUCAAAGCAAGAGAUAAGGAUUUGGAGGUGUUGGCUCCCACUCAGCUAGCCAGGGUCUGAGCCUUACCUUGAAGUUAAUGGAGAAUCAACCCUUGAUAAUUCAUUCACUCAGGGAGGCAUAUACAGACCCCCAUAGCUUUCUCCAAAGACAGAAGGCUUGCUUGGGAAAAGUGGGAAAUGUUUUAAAGGCGUGAAGCAGUGCUUGGUAGUGGUCAGCAGCUUCCAAAUGGAGACCAAAUGGAAUCCCAGACAGCAUCUCCUACCCCAGGCAAGAGGCGAGUGAAAUCUGUAGGAUCUACCCUCAGGACAAAGGGAAAAUGCACUUCUGGGCCUUGGUUUAUGGCCUGACAGCAGAUCUCAGGAGGCUUGAUGUAGGUCAGGGUCAGGCCCUGUAUGUGUU
rnacentral:lncRNA from 1 species